rnacentral:rRNA from 1 species
CGAACGCUGGCGGCAGGCCUAAUACAUGCAAGUCGAACGGCUCUUCGGAGCAGUGGCGGACGGGUGAGUAACGCGUGGGAAUGUGCCCUUUGGUACGGAACAACACAGGGAAACUUGUGCUAAUACCGUAUGUGCCCUUCGGGGGAAAGAUUUAUCGCCAUUGGAGCAGCCCGCGUUGGAUUAGGUAGUUGGUGAGGUAAAGGCUCACCAGGCCGACGAUCCAUAGCUGGUCUGAGAGGAUGACCAGCCACACUGGGACUGAGACACGGCCCAGACUCCUACGGGAGGCAGCAGUAGGGAAUCUUGCGCAAUGGGCGAAAGCCUGACGCAGCCAUGCCGCGUGUAUGAUGAAGGUCUUAGGAUUGUAAAAUACUUUCACCGGGGAAGAUAAUGACGGUACCCGGAGAAGAAGCCCCGGCUAACUUCGUGCCAGCAGCCGCCGUAACAC